GAGGACUUAGUUAAAAUAUAAUAUUACUUUGUCAAAGUAAAGUUACUAGUUAAACCCCCUGUACUCCUCU
rnacentral:tRNA from 1 species